UACGGAGGGGGCUAGCGUUGUUCGGAAUUACUGGGCGUAAAGAGCUCGUAGGCGGCUUGUUGCGUCGACUGUGAAAACCCGCGGCUUAACCGCGGGCUUGCAGUUGAUACGGGCAGGCUAGAGUUCGGUAGGGGAGACUGGAAUUCCUGGUGUAGCGGUGAAAUGCGCAGAUAUCAGGAGGAACACCGGUGGCGAAGGCGGGUCUCUGGGCCGAUACUGACGCUGAGGAGCGAAAGCGUGGGGAGCGAACAGG
rnacentral:rRNA from 1 species